AUAAUAGGAUUUUCAACUACAUAUUGGUAUACAAUUGGAGAUUUAGUUAAUGGGAUUAUGGAAAUCAUGUUUUCAAUCAAAUGGAGUAGAAGUUUGUAACUAUUUUACAGUAAAGAUAUACACAUGCAAAACCAAUAUGGUUUUCAAAAAAGAGGAAAAUUCUUACUAGAUUAAUGGUGUCCAAUCACAAGGAAUUCCAGUGCUGAUGGUUCCAAACCAGCUGUAUAGAAAAUUUUAUGGGGAAAUCAUUUUAACUAAUUUAAGUGUGUCAAGAAAUCCAGAAGUAACAUUACAAAAUGAAGAAAAUAAAUUGAACUCCUUCAAUUUUUUGACAGAAUUGCCAUGUCAAAAUUACAAUUGUUAUGUUCAAUAGGGAUUGGAUUUUGAAUUGUUUUUAAGAAUUCAAUAAAAUCUAAUAAUGCUU